GCCGGUGCUAGUCCUUGAUGGAGGUGUUAGUGCCGGGGAUAGUCCUUGAUGGAGGUGUUAGUGCCGGGGCUAGUCCUUGAUGGAGGUGGUGGUGCCGGGGAUAGUCCUUGAUGGAGGUGUUAGUGCCGGGGCUAGUCCUUGAUGGAGGUGGUGGUGCCGGGGCUAGUCCUUGAUGGAGGUGUUAGUGCCGGGGCUAGUCCUUGAUGGAGGUGGUGGUGCCGGGGCUAGUCCUUGAUGGAGGUGUUAGUGCCGGGGAUAGUCCUUGAUGGAGGUGUUAGUGCCGGGGCUAGUCCUUGAUGGAGGUGGUGGUGCCCGGGCUAGUCCUUGAUGGAGGUGCUAGUGCCGGGGAUAGUCCUUGAUGGAGGUGUUAGUGCCGGGGAUAGUCCUUGAUGGAGGUGUUAGUGCCGGGGAUAGUCCUUGAUGGAGAUGUUAGUGCCGGGGCUAGUCCUUGAUGGAGGUGGUUGUGCUGGGGCUAGUCCUUGAUGGAGAUGGUGGUGCCGGUGCUAGUCCUUGAUGGAGGUGGUGGUGCUGGGGCUAGUCCUUGAUAGAGGUGGUGGUGCCGGUGCUAGUCCUUGAUGGAGGUGCCGGUGCUAGUCCUUGAUGGAGGUGUUAGUGCCGGGGCUAGUCCUUGAUGGAGGUGGUGGUGCCUGUGCUAGUCCUUGAUGGAGGUGUUAGUGCUGGUGCUAGUCCUUGAUGGAGGUGCCGGUACUAGUCCUUGAUGGAGGUGCCGGUGCUAGU
ensembl:lncRNA